UACGUAGGGGGCUAGCGUUGUCCGGAUUUAUUGGGCGUAAAGAGCGCGUAGGCGGCCGAGUAAGUCCGACGUGGAAUCUGGAGGCUCAACCUCCAGCGGUCGUUGGAAACUACUCGGCUAGAGUCCGGAAGAGGAGAGUGGAAUUCCUGGUGUAGCGGUGAAAUGCGCAGAUAUCAGGAAGAACACCCGUGGCUAAGGCGGCUCUCUAGUACGGUACUGACGCUGAGACGCGAAAGCGUGGGGAGCGAACAGG
rnacentral:rRNA from 1 species